rnacentral:rRNA from 1 species
UAACACAUGCAAGUCGAACGAUGAAGCCUUUCGGGGUGGAUUAGUGGCGAACGGGUGAGUAACACGUGGGCAAUCUGCCCUUCACUCUGGGACAAGCCCUGGAAACGGGGUCUAAUACCGGAUAACACUCUGUCCCGCAUGGGACGGGGUUAAAAGCUCCGGCGGUGAAGGAUGAGCCCGCGGCCUAUCAGCUAGUUGGUGGGGUGAUGGCCUACCAAGGCGACGACGGGUAGCCGGCCUGAGAGGGCGACCGGCCACACUGGGACUGAGACACGGCCCAGACUCCUACGGGAGGCAGCAGUGGGGAAUAUUGCACAAUGGGCGAAAGCCUGAUGCAGCGACGCCGCGUGAGGGAUGACGGCCUUCGGGUUGUAAACCUCUUUCAGCAGGGAAGAAGCGAAAGUGACGGUACCUGCAGAAGAAGCGCCGGCUAACUACGUGC